rnacentral:misc_RNA from 1 species
UAGAAUGCGAUAUGCAAUGUGAAUUGCAGAACCACGAAUCAUCGGAUCUUUGAACGCGACUGGCGCUGACUUGUCAGCAUACUUGUUUCAGUGUGCGCAAACAAAUAUACAAUAAAAAUGUGAGAGAAUUUCUCUCAUAAAAUAAAUGCUCCUUGCAGCAGUCACAUUUAUUUGUGAGCUGUAGGUAUGAAUUUUGACUUAUUUGCACCUGAAAUCAAGUAAGAAGACCCGCUGGACUUAA